CCUACGGGAGGCAGCAGUGGGGAAUAUUGCACAAUGGGGGAAACCCUGAUGCAGCGACGCCGCGUGGAGGAAGAAGGUCUUCGGAUUGUAAACUCCUGUUGUUGAGGAAUGAUAAUGACGGUACUCAACAAGGAAGUGACGGCUAACUACGUGACCAGCA
rnacentral:rRNA from 1 species